UACAGAGGUCCCAAGCGUUGUUCGGAUUCACUGGGCGUAAAGGGUUCGUAGGCGGCUUGUUGCGUCGACUGUGAAAACCUGCGGCUCAACCGUGUGGUCUGCAGUCGAUACGGGCAGGCUGGAGUUCGGUAGGGGAGACUGGAAUUCCUGGUGUAGCGGUGAAAUGCGCAGAUAUCAGGAGGAACACCGGUGGCGAAGGCGGGUCUCUGGGCCGAUACUGACGCUGAGGAGCGAAAGCGUGGGGAGCGAACAGG
rnacentral:rRNA from 1 species